rnacentral:rRNA from 1 species
GACGAACGCUGGCGGCGUGCUUAACACAUGCAAGUGGAGCGACGAACCAGGGCUUGCCCUGGGGCAGAGCCGCGAACGGGUGAGUAACACGUGGGUAACGUGCCCCGAUGACUGGGACAACCCGGGGAAACCCGGGCUAAUACCGGAUAUGCCCCCUGACAUCUGUCAGGUGUGUAAAGGAAGCUUCGGCCUCCGCAUCGGGAUCGGCCCGCGGCGCAUUAGCUUGUUGGUGGGGUAACGGCCUACCAAGGCAACGAUGCGUAGCUGGUCUGAGAGGACGAUCAGCCACACUGGGACUGAGACACGGCCCAGACUCCUACGGGAGGCAGCAGUGGGGAAUCUUGCACAAUGCGCGAAAGCGUGAUGCAGCAACGCCGCGUGCGGGAAGACGGCCUUCGGGUUGUAAACCGCUUUCAGUUGGGACGAAGGUCGGCGCGUUAAUAGCGGGUCCGGCUGACGGUACCUUCACAAGAAGCCCCGGCUAACUACGUGCCAGCCGCCGCCGUAACAC